rnacentral:rRNA from 1 species
GAUGAACGCUGGCGGCGUGCCUAAUAAAUGCAAGUAGAACGCUGAAGCUUGGUGCUUGCACCGAGCGGAUGAGUUUCGAACGGGUGAGUAACGCGUAGGUAACCUGCCUCUUAGCGGGGGAUAACUAUUGGAAACGAUAGCUAAUACCGCAUAAAAGUCGACAUCGCAUGAUUUUGACUUGAAAGGUGCAAUUGCAUCACUAAGAGAUGGACCUGCGUUGUAUUAGCUAGUUGGUGAGGUAACGGCUCACCAAGGCGACGAUACAUAGCCGACCUGAGAGGGUGAUCGGCCACACUGGGACUGAGACACGGCCCAGACUCCUACGGGAGGCAGCAGUAGGGAAUCUUCGGCAAUGGGGGCAACCCUGACCGAGCAACGCCGCGUGAGUGAAGAAGGUUUUCGGAUCGUAAAGCUCUGUUGUAAGAGAAGAACGAGUGUGAGAGUGGAAAGUUCACACUGUGACGGUAACUUACCAGAAAGGGACGGCUAACUACGUG